AGAAGCUUAAGUUAUAUCUUCAAACUAGAAGCCUUCAAAGCCUCAAAAAGGGUACAAAAAUCCCUAGCUUCUG